UACGGAGGGUGCGAGCGUUAAUCGGAAUUACUGGGCGUAAAGCGCGCGUAGGUGGUGCGUUAAGCCAGCUGUGAAAGCCCUGGGCUCAACCUGGGAAUGGCAGGUGGGACUGGCGUGCUGGAGUGAGAUAGAGGACCGUGGAAUUCCCGGUGUAGCGGUGAAAUGCGUAGAGAUCGGGAAGAACACCGAUGGCGAAGGCAGCGGUCUGGGUCUACACUGACGCUGAGGUGCGAAGGCGUGGGGAGCAAACAGG
rnacentral:rRNA from 1 species